AAACCCCACAAAUGUCCCCUCAGAACGUCCCCAGACCCCAAAAUGUCCCCUCAGAACGUCCCCAAACCUUCCAAAAUCCAACCAGAAUGUCCCCAAACCCCCCAAAAUCCAACCAGAACGUCCCCAAACCCCCAAAUCUUCAACCAGGACAUCUCCAAACCCCAGAAGAUCCAACCAAGACAUCCCCAAACCCCCAAAUGUCCCCUCAGAACGCCCCCAAACCCCAGAAGAUCCAACCAAGCUGUCCCCAAACCCCAGAAGAUGCAACCGAGAUGUCCCCAAAGCCCCAAAUGUCCCCUCAGAACAUCUCCAAACCCCCAAAAUCCAACCAGGACAUCCCCAAACCCCCACAUCUUCAACCAGGACAUCCCCAAACCCCAGAAUGUCCAACCAAGCUGUCCCCAAAGCCCAGAAGAUCCAACUGAGCUGUCCCCAAACCCCAGAAGAUCCAACCAGGACAUCCCCAAACCCCCCAAAAUCCAACCAGAACAUCCCCAAACCCCCAAAUGUCCCCUCAGAACGCCCCCAAACCCCCCAAAAUCCAACCAGAACGUCCCCAAACCCCCAAAUCUUCAACCAGGACAUCUCCAAACCCCAAAAUGUCCCCUCAGAACAUCUCCAGACCCCCAAAUGUUCAACCAGAACAUCCCCAAAGCCCCCAAAUCCAACCAGGACAUCCCCAAACCCCAAAAUGUCCCCUCAGAACAUCCCCAAACCCCCCAAAAUCCAACCAGGACAUCCCCAAACCCCCACAUCUUCAACCAGAACAUCCCCAAAGCCCAGAAGGUCCAACCAAGCUGUCCCCAAAGCCCAGAAGAUCCAACUGAGAUGUCCCCAAACCCCAGAAGGUCCCCCCAGGACAUCCCCAAAGCCCAGAAGAUCCAACCAAAAUGUCCCCAAACCCCAGAAGAUCCAACCGAGAUGUCCCCAAAGCCCAGAAGAUCCAACUGAGAUGUCCCCAAAGCCCAGAAGGUCCCCCCAGGACACCCCAAAAGGCCCAGGCCCCCCCAGGUGUCCCCACCUCGUAGUAGAGGUCCCCGUGGAUGGUCAGCUUGGGCUUGGUCUGCCACUUGAAGAAGGCGUCGUGCAGCUUCUGGUAAUCGAUGUCGAUCUUGCCCAUCUUGGGCCGAACCUUCUCGCGCAUC
rnacentral:lncRNA from 1 species